rfam:Populus trichocarpa scaffold_12_contig_58, whole genome shotgun sequence.
UUAAUGUUUCUUGCUCAAAUGAGUAUUCCAACAGCAGUAGCCUUAUGCAACAAGAGCAUAUAUUUUUUACUUGUAUCACUGUAAUAUGAUGUUGCUGGAAUGCUACUGUUUCUGAGAUGCUCAUUUGAGCAAGUAAUAUUAG